GAUGAACGCUGGCGGCGUGCCUAAUACAUGCAAGUCGAGCGAACAGACGAGGAGCUUGCUCCUCUGACGUUAGCGGCGGACGGGUGAGUAACACGUGGAUAACCUACCUAUAAGACUGGGAUAACUUCGGGAAACCGGAGCUAAUACCGGAUAAUAUAUUGAACCGCAUGGUUCAAUAGUGAAAGACGGUUUUGCUGUCACUUAUAGAUGGAUCCGCGCCGCAUAGCUAGUUGGUAAGGUAACGGCUUACCAAGGCAACGAUGCGUAGCCGACCUGAGAGGGUGAUCGGCCACACUGGAACUGAGACACGGUCCAGACUCCUACGGGAGGCAGCAGUAGGGAAUCUUCCGCAAUGGGCGAAAGCCUGACGGAGCAACGCCGCGUGAGUGAUGAAGGUCUUCGGAUCGUAAAACUCUGUUAUUAGGGAAGAACAAAUGCGUAAGUAACUAUGCACGUCUUGACGGUACCUAAUCAGAAAGCCACGGCUAACUACGUG
rnacentral:rRNA from 1 species